ACAGCCUUGAGCAACAACAACAACAAACAAAUGUCGUGUAAUUAUUACACGGUUGCAACAUGAAAAACAAACGAGCCCAAAACCGACAUGUUUUAUGUGUUUGUUUUUUUUUUGUAUUAAAAAAUGAUGUGUGUUGUGUGUCAAUUGCACACCGUGUGACCGAAAUUGCGAAACGACCGCGAAAACUAUCAGAUCAGAAAAAGAUGAUUACAGAGCCCAGACUUAAACUUUAUGACUUUGCGUUGCACACACAAAAAAAAAAAAAAAACACAUAUUUAAGAGCUUUUUACAGUCCAAAUGUUUCUUUUGUGUGCAUGUGUUCAACGUGUUUUUCUUUUUCUUUCUUUAAUGACAGUUGCGACCCGCAUACCGUCCGCAAGAUAACACAGGUGGAGAUGGACAGAUGCAGAGGAAGAAAAACGGGUUUUUCUUCUUGAUUAAAAAGCUUUGGCCAACACCAACGGUGAUAACCAGAAGUAUCACACACCCUCUGAAAAACGUGAAUCAUGUGAUGUUGGGAUGAGGACACCGCCAGCAAAGCAACGGGACAUCCACAAAAUCGGGAAGAUGACUCAAUUUCUUUUAUUUCACAUCCUUUGAAGAAAAGAAGAAGAAAAAAAAAAAAAAGUACAGUUCUUUUUGUUGUUGUUGUCGUGUUGACGUUGUUAACCCUCCGGUUGUUUUUGUAAUGAUGCACAUAAAAGAAAGGUAGAAAUACAUAACAGCAUAAAAU